rnacentral:rRNA from 1 species
GAUGAACGCUGGCGGCGUGCCUAAUACAUGCAAGUCGAGCGAACGGACGAGAAGCUUGCUUCUCUGAUGUUAGCGGCGGACGGGUGAGUAACACGUGGAUAACCUACCUAUAAGACUGGGAUAACUUCGGGAAACCGGAGCUAAUACCGGAUAAUAUUUUGAACCGCAUGGUUCAAAAGUGAAAGACGGUCUUGCUGUCACUUAUAGAUGGAUCCGCGCUGCAUUAGCUAGUUGGUAAGGUAACGGCUUACCAAGGCAACGAUGCAUAGCCGACCUGAGAGGGUGAUCGGCCACACUGGAACUGAGACACGGUCCAGACUCCUACGGGAGGCAGCAGUAGGGAAUCUUCCGCAAUGGGCGAAAGCCUGACGGAGCAACGCCGCGUGAGUGAUGAAGGUCUUCGGAUCGUAAAACUCUGUUAUUAGGAAAGAACAUAUGUGUAAGUAACUGUGCACAUCUUGACGGUACCUAAUCAGAAAGCCACGGCUAACUACGU